rnacentral:rRNA from 1 species
CAUAAGCGCACAGUACCGCAUGGUACAGUGUGAAAAACUCCGGUGGUGUGAGAUGGACCCGCGUCUGAUUAGGUAGUUGGUGGGGUAACGGCCUACCAAGCCGACGAUCAGUAGCCGACCUGAGAGGGUGACCGGCCACAUUGGGACUGAGACACGGCCCAAACUCCUACGGGAGGCAGCAGUGGGGAAUAUUGCACAAUGGGGGAAACCCUGAUGCAGCGACGCCGCGUGAGCGAAGAAGUAUUUCGGUAUGUAAAGCUCUAUCAGCAGGGAAGAAAAUGACGGUACCUGACUAAGAAGCCCCGGCUAACUACGUGCCAGCAGCCGCGGUAAUACGUAGGGGGCAAGCGUUAUCCGGAUUUACUGGGUGUAAAGGGAGCGUAGACGGCAUGGCAAGCCAGAUGUGAAAGCCCGGGGCUCAACCCCGGGACUGCAUUUGGAACUGUCAGGCUAGAGUGUCGGAGAGGUAAGCGGAAUUCCUAGUGUAGCGGUGAAAUGCGUAGAUAUUAGGAGGAACACCAGUGGCGAAGGCGGCUUACUGGACGGUAACUGACGUUGAGGCUCGAAAGCGUGGGGAGCAAACAGGAUUAGAUACCCUGGUAGUCCAUGCCGUAAACGAUGAGUGCUAGGUGUUGGAGGGUUUCCGCCCUUCAGUGCCGCAGCUAACGCAUUAAGCACUCCGCCUGGGGAGUACGACCGCAAGGUUGAAACUCAAAGGAAUUGACGGGGGCCCGCACAAGCGGUGGAGCAUGUGGUUUAAUUCGAAGCAACGCGAAGAACCUUACCAGGUCUUGACAUCCUUUGACCACUCUAGAGAUAGAGCUUUCCCUUCGGGGACAAAGUGACAGGUGGUGCAUGGUUGUCGUCAGCUCGUGUCGUGAGAUGUUGGGUUAAGUCCCGCAACGAGCGCAACCCUUAUUACUAGUUGCCAGCAUUUAGUUGGGCACUCUAGUGAGACUGCCGGUGACAAACCGGAGGAAGGUGGGGACGACGUCAAAUCAUCAUGCCCCUUAUGACCUGGGCUACACACGUGCUACAAUGGAUGGUACAACGAGUUGCGAGACCGCGAGGUUUAGCUAAUCUCUUAAAACCAUUCUCAGUUCGGAUUGUAGGCUGCAACUCGCCUACAUGAAGCCGGAAUAGCUAGUAAUCGCGGAUCAGCAUGCCGCGGUGA